rnacentral:rRNA from 1 species
UACAGAGGGGGCAAGCGUUGUUCGGAAUUACUGGGCGUAAAGGGCGCGUAGGCGGCCGCCUAAGUCAGACGUGAAAUCCCUCGGCUCAACCGGGGAACUGCGUCUGAUACUGGAUGGCUUGAGUUUGGGAGAGGGAUGCGGAAUUCCAGGUGUAGCGGUGAAAUGCGUAGAGAUCGGGAGGAACACCCACGGCGAAGGCGGCCAUCUGGACCAGUACUGACGCUGAGGCACGAAAGCGUGGGGAGCAAACAGG